GCGAAGGGCGGGGCGGGCACGGGGGCGCGGGUUGAGCCAGGCGCGUGUAAAGGGAGAGGGACGGCUGUGACACCGGCCCGGAGGGUGUGACACCGGCCCGGGGCUGUGACACCGGACCGGGGCUGUGACCAAGGGCGACAAAGGCAUCACCAUUUACUUUUAUGAUACUUCCAUUAACUUCAUUGGAGUGAACAUUGCUUGAUGCACACAACCAACGCCCAGUGCUGCCAUAAUCUUUGACGCACCUUGCCAGCUGCUCUGGGUUUACACAAAUCUUUAUGCGGGAGGAAGGAGGACAGAUGCAGCUGAAACGUGUGAUUUGAAGGACAGAACAAAACCCUCCGUACGUGAAAAAAGAAAACAGGACAAAGGCAAUUGUGUUUCCUCAUGGAGGGGCUGCAUUAGACCAGUUCAUGCUCUGUGCCACGAGCAGAAGAGAUGACAAAGCCAGACAUUGGCUGGACUUAGAGAACUCACAAGGUUGUUAGCAGAGAGUGAUAGGUGUUUGCAGACUUACCUGUCUCCCUGUGACACCUACAGCAGCUACUGGCUUUAUGUAUCCCUAGAAAAAAUCCCUAAGAAAUCCCACGGGUUUUUGAACUCUGUAGCCAGCAAUGGGCUUACCACAUGUAAAGGAAGUGAUGGGAAAUUCUGGACUACUGUUAGGUAAAGCCCCUCUUACCCAUCUUUCCCUCGGUUAUGGAUUGCCAGCUCCUCCACAAUCCCCUCCUCCUCCUUGAAGUUCUCCCAGUCCAGUUUAGAUUUCUCCAGUGUGCUCAUCUUCUGCUUUUUGGCACCGAUCUUCCCCAGGAGGGUACUCAUACCGCUUGGCCUCUUCACCCUGACGGAGAUUAAGGAGCAAAUGUUGGUUAAAUGCAGGGAGAUGGCAAUUAAAAACAGAGCUGAGAAACAUCACACGUGAGAGCGGUGGCCUCGGUGGUGGUGAGCCACUGCCACCAAACAGAUGGCCACCAACUCCAGGCAGCCUGCAGGCGGCAAGGUCACGCUUCCUGCAGAUCCUGCUCUGCCGUUCCCCUGGAAGCAGCAGAGUUCAUUACACACAUAUCUCAAGUGCUUGGUUUUUGUGAAAGGGCUUUUUCAUUUAUCUUCUUAAGAGAACAGAGAGCUUUCAGGCCAAAAGAGAUCAUUAAAUCAUCUAGUUUGACCCCUUGUAUACACCAGGCCAAGCCAUUCCACUGAUCACCUCUGUGCUAAGGCUGCUUCUUUGUCUUCAGUUAAAGUGUUGUUUUCUGGAAGGCAUCCAGCCUCAGUGCGUCACUAGUGCUGACAACACAUCCAGGAAUUAACCAUUUACUUGGUACUAAUGCUUGAUUUUCUCUACUUUUAGGUUCUGGUUCCUGGUUCUUAUUCUAAAUCCAAGAACACUUUGGUCUCUAGGCAAGUCUCAUUAGUGACGUACUUGUACACCACUAAUGAACUUACAUCUAAAUUAUUUUUAUGCAAACAGAUAGAGUUCCUUAAAUACAUUGAAAUGUAUUUUGCCCCAGCCCAUACAUCACUUAACAUGUUUUGUCCCUCUGCUUACAUUUCAGUGCUCUUUGAAGAUGGGAGCACAGAACUGCCUCUAACUCCCACCCUUCUCCUGAUUUGUUUCUGUCCAAGCAUCACUUAAAUAAUCCUGUUAGGUGCAUAUUGAAUCCCAGUGCACAUGCACUGUGAUCCCAUACCAUCUCCUGGGUCCCUGUUUGGCAGGAAGACCACUUUGGUCUUUCAUCCCUUGUUCUUAGAGGAGUGAUAUCCCACCCGUGCGAUGGGGCCCCCAAUCUCCCCUUUAUGCUGGGAAAUGCACACACAGGGGCUCAGGUCAGCCGAGCUGCCCUCUAAGGAAGACAAUUCUCAGGGAUAGGAACCCGUAAAACAAACUUGUAUUGACCCUUCUCAACCCCCCCCCAGGAAGGGGGGGCAAACAGCAUCCCAUUGAACUCGUGUUUACACACAUUCCAGAGAUAACUUCAGGUCUGCAGGGCCUUUGCCUCUGCAAGAAGCCAGAGAGGAAAUUACUCUCGUUCCUGAGAGAUGAAGGAAUUUGGGAAGGGGGGCCCAAGGAAGGCAGCCAGGUGAGCAUGGCAAAUUGCUCUCAGUGCUCCAUCAGUGCUCUCUGAGCACGCUCCUGCCCAGGGGUAGCUGUUCUUGGGAACGUAUCCAAAGUUGUCCUUAUCGGAUCAUUAGCAUGGUUUAUGCUUCCGUAAUUUGCAAGCCUCUAAAGGAAAAUAAUUCUGCAGUUUAUAUGGAAUUAAAUCAAAGAAAAUGACAACUCUGUAAGCCUCAGCCAGAAGACUCUCAAUGAAAGAAUGGCUGGCUAGAGUCACUAGGGGUUGCAGCUUCCUGACACAGAUAUAUUUGGGAUUAAGGACAUCUUGGAAGGCUCCACAGCAACUGGACAAGGCUGCCUGCCCCUCCUCAAUACCAGCCAGAGGAGCAGAAAUGUCCUAGGAUCUGGCCCUCUUAUUUCCUUCAGUCCCUGCCCAUGGCUGGAGCACAGCCCAACAGGCAGCAGUUGUUCACUCUGUGGGGACACAGAACAAGCUGGAUGCUCUUUGAUUCACCAUUAUCCCUGAACAUCUCAUCAAGAUGUCUACGGCCCUUCACACCAUGAUCACACAAUAAAACCUUGAUCCUU